CCGCAGAGGUGGGUUUGCCUCAACAGGUGCCCUGGACCUGGCCUCAGAGCCCUUUGCUCCUCUCGGGGUGUGACAUACGUGGGACAGACCUCCCCUUCCUCCUCCUGUCAACUAAGCUCCAGGUACCGAACCAUACCCUGCUUAUCUCUGUUCCUGCCACAGCACAUUGCUUAUCAGGAGCUGCACACCUUGGGAGAUGGGAGAGAUGCGGAUGAGAGGGUUAAUGUGUCCAUACACCUCGAGAAUCACAGCCGUUCAGGGGCCGCGGUGCGUGAGCGAGCUCGUGCGCGCGCGCGCUUCCUCCUGCAGAUGAGAGAUGCCACAGCCCGGGGUCCGGACUCUCAGUGUCCCCGCAGGGGUGCACAGCAUUCACAAUAUCUGGGCCCAGAGGCCGGAAAGGAGAGGAGGGCAGCCCGGCGGGUCCACGUAGUGUGGGCAGGACGGAGAGUUGCAGCGGUGGGGGCAGAGGUCUGACCUCCUCCGUGGGGCCGGGCAGCCCUGCUUCGUGAAAGCCAGCAACAUCUUCUUAGUUCUUUUCUCCUGUACUUACUUAUUCAUCCUCCCAGAACUUUCCUGUACAGUAAGAGAACAGCGAGGCAGAGUACAAGAAAGUAGAGCUCAGUUCAUCUGAUGAUCUGCCCACACUCGCUGACUCACUCAUAAUGGCCCCUCAGAUGUCAGUUUCUUGCUAAGACAUUUGGAAAAAUUUCUGCUUCUGAAUCACAAGCAAACACUAUAAUUCAACAAUCUUCUCUGAGUUAUUCAAGGAACUUCAAUGCACUCAGAAGUGGAAGGAUCAGGGGCGGAUGAAAUCAAUGAAAUCUCUGAGUACUCUGUUUUUCUCCUAAUUACAUUUCAUUUGCCCGGCAGAGGUGGGGGGAGCUCCAUCUGACCACUGAGGGGCAUCUCCUGGGGGAAGUCUGGAAGCAGCCGAUUUGGGGUUUCUGGGUGACACUUGGUUUUUCUUAUCAUCUUCGUUCUGUUCCCAUAAUAAAGCCAAGUGUCAUGCAGGAAAAGGC
rnacentral:lncRNA from 1 species